rnacentral:rRNA from 1 species
CCUGCCUGAAGCUGCCGGCACCAUCCGGCAAGGCUAAAUACGAGCUGGGAGACCGAUAGCGAACCAGUACUGUGAAGGAAAGGUGAAAAGAACCGCAAGAAGCGGAGUGAAAAGAGCCUGAAACCGUGCGCCUACAAGCGGUGGGAGUUCGCCUCGGCGAAUGACCACGUGCCUUUUGCAUAAUGAACCUACGAGUUGCGUCCCGCCAGCGAGCAUAAGCCCCUAGGGGGCGCAUGCGCAGCGAAAGCGAGUCUUAACAGGGCGCCGAGUUGGCGGGAGCAGACGCGAAACCGAGUGAUCUACCCAUGGGCAGGCUGAAGUCCCGAUAGUCUCGGGAUGGAGGGCCGAACCGGUUGAUGUUGAAAAAUCUUCGGAUGACCUGUGGGUAGGGGUGAAAGGCUAAUCAAACUCGGAGAUAGCUCGUACUCCCCGAAAUGUAUUUAGGUACAGCGUCGCGGAGUGUGCGCAGGAGGUAGAGCUACCGAUAGGGCUAGGGGGCCUCACCGCCU